rnacentral:rRNA from 1 species
AGAGUUUGAUCCUGGCUCAGAUUGAACGCUGGCGGCAGGCCUAACACAUGCAAGUCGAAUGGUAACAGGAAACAGCUUGCUGUUUCGCUGACGAGUGGCGGACGGGUGAGUAAUGUCUGGGAAACUGCCUGAUGGAGGGGGAUAACUACUGGAAACGGUAGCUAAUACCGCAUAACGUCGCAAGACCAAAGAGGGGGACCUUCGGGCCUCUUGCCAUCAGAUGUGCCCAGAUGGGAUUAGCUAGUAGGUGGGGUAACGGCUCACCUAGGCGACGAUCCCUAGCUGGUCUGAGAGGAUGACCAGCCACACUGGAACUGAGACACGGUCCAGACUCCUACGGGAGGCAGCAGUGGGGAAUAUUGCACAAUGGGCGCAAGCCUGAUGCAGCCAUGCCGCGUGUAUGAAGAAGGCCUUCGGGUUGUAAAGUACUUUCAGCGGGGAGGAAGGGAGUAAAGUUAAUACCUUUGCUCAUUGACGUUACCCGCAGAAGAAGCACCGGCUAACUCCGUGCCAGCAGCCGCGGUAAUACGGAGGGUACAAGCGUUAAUCGGAAUUACUGGGCGUAAAGCGCACGCAGGCGGUUUGUUAAGUCAGAUGUGAAAUCCCCGGGCUCAACCUGGGAACUGCAUCUGAUACUGGCAAGCUUGAGUCUCGUAGAGGGGGGUAGAAUUCCAGGUGUAGCGGUGAAAUGCGUAGA